GAUGAACGCUGGCGGUCUGCUUAACACAUGCAAGUCGAACGGAAUCCUUCGGGAUUUAGUGGCGGACGGGUGAGUAACGCGCGAGAAUCUGCCUUCAGGUUCGGGACAACAGCUGGAAACGGCUGCUAAUACCGGAUGUGCCGAGAGGUGAAAGCUUUAGUGCCUGAAGAUGAGCUCGCGUCUGAUUAGCUAGUAGGAGUGGUAAUGGCACCCCUAGGCGACGAUCAGUAGCUGGUCUGAGAGGAUGAUCAGCCACACUGGGACUGAGACACGGCCCAGACUCCUACGGGAGGCAGCAGUGGGGAAUUUUCCGCAAUGGGCGCAAGCCUGACGGAGCAAGACCGCGUGAGGGAAGAAGGUCUGUGGAUUGUAAACCCCUUUUGAUGGGGAAGAAGACAGUGACGGUACCCAUCGAAUCAGCCUCGGCUAACUCCGUGCCAGCCGCCGCGGUAA
rnacentral:rRNA from 1 species